rnacentral:rRNA from 1 species
CCCUUAGAUGUUCUGGGCUGCACGCGCGCUACACUGAUUCUUUCAGCGAGUCCACCACCUUGCCUGGGAGGGUGGGGUAACCUCUGGAAAGAGCAUCGUGAUGGGGAUCGAUUAUUGUAAUUAUUAAUCUUCAACGAGGAAUUCCUAGUAAGCAUGUGUCAUCAGCCCGUGCUGAUUACGUCCCUGCCCUUUGUACACACCGCCCGUCGCUACUACCGAUUGAACGGUUUAGUGAGGGCCUCGGAUUGGUCUCGGCCCGCUCUUUACCGGGCGGCGCCGUUGGUCGAGAAGACGCUCGAACUUGAUCGUUUAGAGGAAGUAAAAGUCGUAACA